UGUAGCACACCAUCUGAUUUUACUAAAUGUUUAAUUGGUUACUCUUCUAGCUGCUUUUCAAAGCCCAACAACAUCAGCUCUCAUCAUCAUAUUGAGUUUUUAUCAUUUAUCCACGUAGACAAUUAUCAUUUUCCGUUGCUUCUCAUCUCCUCAUUGGUUGAUCUAGUUUCUUUUCUUUUUAAUCACCAUAGUCUUCAGUUCUCAAUUAAUCAAGUUACAACUCAGUCAAACCAUUUUAUAAUCUAUUUUAAUUUUGUUAAUUUUGUCAAUUUUAUCAUUGUUUAUCAAAAGUCUAACUCUAGUCUAACCUUUAAGAAAUAAAGUUGCUCAUAAAUCUAUAGUUGCCAUGAUUCCAAUAGGGCUUUUAUUAAUCUUUCUUGUUCUCGGUUGUAUCGGUUUCUUUGCCUACAAGUUGAUACAAUCUUUACAGGAAAAGGAGAAACGAAAGGAGGAAAAGAAAAAAUUAAAGCAACAAAAGAAGGAUCCAGCAGUGGCAGCUAAGAAGAAAAAGUGACCAUGAUACUGAUAACGUUAAUUUGAAAGUUAGGAUAAGCAUUUUCUUGACACUUCAAGUUCUUCCAAAAUUUAAUAUUUCAAAUACAAGUUAUAGCUGAUUUAGACGAAUUUAUAAAUAUAUUUAAAGAGAGGGUAUAUGGAAACAAAAUCAUGUGGCGAAUGUGAUAUUUUAACAAGAAUACGAUAAAAUUAUUCAACUUCCAAUCAACACCAUUGAUCAACAAUUAUCCAAGGAAAACCAAAUGCUAAUGAAUUUGUUAUGAAUGGCGAUAUUGUUGAUACUGAAUACAUUCCAGCCAAAAACGUUUAUGGCCAAUAAAUUUUAAUAAUCACUUUUUAA